rnacentral:rRNA from 1 species
UACGAAGGGGGCUAGCGUUGCUCGGAUUGACUGGGCGUAAAGGGCGCGUAGGCGGUUCGUACAGUCAGACGUGAAAUUCCUGGGCUCAACCUGGGGGCUGCGUUUGAUACGUGCGGACUUGAGUGCGGAAGAGGGUCGUGGAAUUCCCAGUGUAGAGGUGAAAAUUCGUAGAUAUUGGGAAGAACACCGAUGGCGAAGGCAGCCAUCUGGACCGACACUGACGCUGAGGCGCGAAAGCGUGGGGAGCAAACAGG